UACGAAGGGGGCGAGCGUUGUUCGGAUUUACUGGGCGUAAAGGGCGCGCAGGCGGCUCAUUUUGUCAGGCGUGAAAGCCCCGGGCUUAACCUGGGAACUGCGUUUGAUACGGAUGGGCUAGAGUUCGGGAGAGGAGAGUGGAAUUCCCAGUGUAGAGGUGAAAUUCGUAGAUAUCAGGAGGAACACCGGUGGCGAAGGCGGUCUGCUGGGCAGUUGCUGACGCUGAUGCGCGACAGCGUGGGGAGCAAACAGG
rnacentral:rRNA from 1 species